rnacentral:ncRNA from 1 species
GACGGUUAUUACAAAAUAAAUACGGUCAUCAACUGACAGACAAUGUUAUUCACUUUUAUUGUUAAGUACAAGAAACUAAAGAGAUGAUCAUUUAUGGAUGACCUUCGAGUGACCCCUUAGUGACCGUUCAGCUGGCCGUCCUUAGUUGGUGGAGCGAUUUGUCUGGUUAAUUCCGAUAACGAACGAGACUUUAACCUGCUAAAUAGUAGACUGGUCCUCUGUGCCCGUUUAGGGCGCGGCUUCUAUUGCUUCUUUACGGAGUAGUGUGGUCGUGAUCCGGCGGGGGCGGUGCCAGUUUUUACUUCUUAGAGGGACAAGCGGCACACUUAAGUCGCACGAAAUUGAGCAAUAACAGGUCUGUGAUGCCCUUAGAUGUCCGGGGCCACACGUGCGCUACAAUGACGGUGCCAGCGAGUCUGGGAACCUGGCCCGAAAGGGUUGGGCAAACUGUUUCAUCACCGUCGUGACU